CCUCUUGGGCCUCCCUCUGCCUCGACUCGCGCCAACCACCGCCAGCCGCUUACAACUCCUCAACGGGGCAUCGGAGCUUCUCCUCCGCACAUGCCUGAACCACCUGAGCCUCGCUUUCCGCAUCUUCUCAUCCACCGAGGCCACCCCCACCUUUUCCGAAUAACUUCAUUCUUUAUCUUAUCCAACCUGGUGAGCCCGCAAAUCUAGGUGAGCAUCCUCAUCUCCGCAACCUUCAUUAUCUGAACAUGAGAAUUUUUCACCGGCCAACACUCCGCCCCAUACAACAUGGCAGGUCUAACCGCAGCUCUAUAAAAUUUCCCCUUGAGUUUCUGUGGAACUUUCUUAUCACACAGGACUCCUGAUGCAAGCCUCCAUUUUGACCACCCCGCUCCUAUACGAUGAGUGACGUCCCCAUCAAUCUCUCUAUCCCCCUGAAUCACCGACCCAAGAUAUCUGACACUGUCCCUCUUGACAAUGACUUGAGAUCCAAUCAUCACGUCCCUGCCUACUUCGCUCGGCUCAGC
rnacentral:lncRNA from 1 species